UUUUGAACAAGCGUAAACAACGACCCUUUCAGUAGAACAGAAAGGGGGCAGAAGAGGGUGGUGGAGUCAUUCAACACGGAAAAGACCUGUUUGGUUGGUAAAUUUCUUCAGUUCUAUUUAUAAAGUAAAUCUCCUUUUAGAUCUGUUCAUUUUCAAGACCUUCUUCACGAUCUCUCAAAACUGAGGGCAACAGCCAAACGAGUCACACUCCUUUCUACUCCAUCAAACGAUUUUUUUACCGAUCCGACACUCCUCCCUUACAGGUCCUGUUGGUGUAUCAUGUGCUAUGCUUAUGCGGCUGACUUAUCUACUGUAUGAUGAUAGUCAAUAAGUUUUCAUGGACAAUGCAAGAAUGGACUAGAAAACUCUGGCGUGAAGAGUAACUUGCUUAGAAUUUGUAGUGCAAGCAUGGUGCUUAACAAAGUUACAGAAAUUGUUUCCGCUGCAGUGGCUCGUUUCUCGAACACAAAGACGUCUAGCACUCCAUAUCCAUCAUCGGGGUUACCACCUCUUCCAGGUUCACUUACUAUUUCCAGCUUAGAUCAGAAGAACAAGUUGAGACUUUCCUCAUCCCUUCAAGAUCUUUCUGCAUAUCGGCGGCUUGAUCUGGAAGAUGGUGAUCUUAACUCUGAAAUAGAGAGGGGUUCAACUAAUUUAAAACGGCUAAAUCUUUUCAAGAGAGAAAAUUUGGGUACAAGCUUCUCCAAGGUGAAGGGGUCGCCAGCAGUCAAUUCUGCACGAACGAAAUGGAAGCGAGUUAUCUUAGUUCUCCUCUGCUUGCUAUUGGUUGCAUUUCUCCUAUAUAUGUUGUUUUUUUAUCUUAAUUUAUUCCACGGAGAGUCAAAGUUUUAUGUUGUGCUUGAUUGUGGUAGCACUGGGACUCGUGUUUAUGUAUAUCAAUCAUCCCCUAACUAUAAAAAAGAUAGCGAUCUCCCUAUUGUAUUGAGAUCACUGCCAGAGGGUUUCCAGAGAAACUCAAGAUUACAGAGUGGACGGGCUUACAACAGAAUGGAGACAGAACCUGGAUUUGACAAAUUGGUGCACAACACAUCUGGAUUGAGAAAAGCAAUCAAGCCACUAAUUAAGUGGGCAGUGAAGCAAAUCCCCAAGCAUGCGCAUAAAUCUACUUAUCUCUAUCUUUAUGCUACGGCUGGGGUCCGCAGGCUGCCAAAUUCAGAUUCAGAAUGGCUUCUCAACAAUGCUUGGUCCAUUUUAAAAAGUUCGCCUUUUAUGUGCAAGAGAGAAUGGGUCAAAACUAUCACUGGCAUGGAGGAAGCCUAUUAUGGAUGGAUAGCUAUGAAUUACCACACCGGUAUAUUGGGGGCAAAACCUAAAAAAGGAACAUUUGGUGCACUUGACUUAGGUGGCUCAUCGUUGCAGGUUACUUUUGAGAGCAAGGAAAAUCUCCCUGAUGAAACUAGCUUAGAGCUGAAUAUUGGUGCGGUUAAUCAUCAUCUUACUGCUUAUUCCUUAGCAGGAUAUGGCCUGAAUGAUGCUUUUGACAAGUCUGUAGUUCAGCUUCUCAAGAGGCUUCCCAAGAUCAGUAAUGCAGAUAUCACCAGUGGAAACAUUGAGAUCAAGCAUCCGUGUUUGAAUUCUGGUUACAAGGAGCAAUAUAUCUGUACUCAUUGUGUUUCCCUAUACCAAGAAGGUGGUAAUCCUACCACUGGGAGAGAAGUUUCUGGUAAAGGGGGGAAGCCUGGAGUUCGUGUUCAGCUUGUUGGAGCUCCAAAAUGGGAAGAAUGCAAUUCACUUGCAAAAGUUGCUGUCAAUUUGUCUGAAUGGUCUGGCAAAAAUCCAGGAAUUGAUUGUGAGUUGCAGCCCUGUGCUCUUGCAGAAAAUCUUCCUCGUCCUUAUGGCCAGUUCUAUGGUAUGUCUGGUUUUUACGUUGUAUAUCGUUUUUUCAACUUGACCCCUGAUGCUGCGCUGGAUGAUGUAUUAGAAAAGGGUCAGGAAUUUUGUGAGAAGACUUGGGAUGUCGCAAAGACUAGUGUUGCACCUCAGCCUUUCAUAGAACAGUAUUGCUUCAGGGCACCAUAUGUUGUCUUUUUGUUGAGAGAAGGCUUGCACAUUACUGAUAGUCAGGUAACCAUUGGUUCUGGAAGUAUUACUUGGACGCUAGGUGUUGCACUGUUGGAAGCUGGAAAGGCAGUUUCAACUGGGGUGGAACUUAUUAGUUACAAGCUAUUGCUCAUGAAGAUGCACCCAAUUAUUCUUUUUGCUAUUUUGUUUGCUUCAUUAGCUGUUCUUCUUUGUGCAUUAUCAUGUGUUGGGAAGUGGAUGCCCAGGUUCUUCCGUAGGCAAUAUCUUCCCCUUUUUGGGAAUAAUAGUGCUUCAUCCACAUCUAUAAUCAACAUUCCAGCUCCUUUCAGUUUCAGGCGGUGGAGUCCUGUUAUUACAGGUGAAGGAAGAGUGAAAAUGCCACUCAGUCCAACAGUUGCUAAUACACAACAGAGACCAUUUGACACUGGGCAUGGUUUCGGUGGCAAUGGUAUCCAGCUCACUGAAUCUUCUUUAUAUUCAUCGUCUAGUAGUGUGGCACAUAGUUUUUCAUCAGGGAGCUUGGGUCAGAUGCAAUUUGAAAGUAGUAGCACGGGUUCCUUCUGGUCCCCACACAGAAGCCAACAACGUCUCCAGAGCAGGAGAUCCCAAUCACGAGAAGAUCUUAUUUCUUCACUGGCUGAAGUGCCCUUGCCUCCAAAGGUCUAAAUCUGAUGGUAAUAUUGCUCAUUGAAGAGAAAAUCAUGGGGCUGAUGAUUGCUAAUGGCUCAUUAGCCAAAUUGCUAAUUACCUUCAGCUAUGAAUCUCAUGAUAUACUCCUGUCCUACGUUCUCCUUUAGAGGCACCAUAAUGAGGCUACUACUUAUUCAUCUGACAUUACAUAGAAUAGAGUCAUGACACAGACAUUAUCAGCGAAGAGAAGUCUGGCCUCACUAAGCCAGGCGACUGUGCAGAACAGCAGGGAACUUGUUACUAUGAGGAGCUUGACAAAGAUUUGCAUCCUGUGAAUACUGGGGAUACUAAUGAACUCCGACUAUGAUUCCAACUUGAUAGUCCAAAGUUUCACAUGAUUUGAAUGGAGGAGAUUCUCUAAAUACGGUCCUUUUAUGUGAAUGAGGUAGCCGGCUUGUAAAUGGUCAAAUUUCAGAAUUCAACAUUUUCACAAGCAUUAUUCUGAUAUUAGGUGGAAUACAUAGCUAGCAUCGAAAAAGUCAUUGAGCUGUCUUACUUUAGAAAGGGAAGUUUGAGGGAAUCAGCAUGGAGAUGUAGAUGGUUUGUCCUGUACCAAAUUGGAGAAUUUGUUUGCAGGUUAUUGUCAUCGGUCCUACUUGACAAUGUCAGAUGUCUCGUAGCAGCUGCUCUCAUUUACGCGCCUUCUAAGAUUUCUUGCUUUACAAAAGGAGCGCUGCAGGGAAGGAAUCGGCUCCCUUUGGAGUGCCUGUGUUUUAAUCCCAGGUGAUAGAUUUACACACACAUAUAGAGAACUUCUGCAGAUCCUAUGAAUCCAAAACAGCCCCAGUUCUUCUCAGGGCCUAAAAAGGGCUAAGAGCAUAAGAAAAUCCUCUUUUACCUUUCACCAGAAGCACUAUACCAUCACCGACACAAGGUCAACUAGGUUAUGUACGUAACGGCAGGUAUCAUAUAUCCAUCUGUGUUACAUAUGAACCAACCCCACAUAGGCAAUGACCAGCUCACCUGCUUGCAUAUAAUAUCAGGCAUGUAACCCUGAAAAAACUAUUCAAUCUCCACCUAAACAAGAGCAGAAUUAGACAGAAUUAAAAUAUACAAAGCCGUUUUGCCUUUUCUUAAAUAUUUAUUGGAAAAGCUAACAGAUUUAAAAAGAAAAAGCAACCUAGCCCCGAUCUUAUACUCG